AUUAAGUAAGUGCCCUUAAUCAGCUUUUCAGUUCAGUUUUAUUGGUUGCACGCACAGUCAGUUAUUUCAUCCAGAAAAUCUGAAGGCCCUACAAACUAACCAGGGUAGCUCUUCUUUGGAGCAAUCCACCAGCUGCCUUGAAUGGAUAUUAAUGUGAAGAAAUGAAAAUUGCUUCUACUUUAAAGACUUUGGAUAUGAUUUAAGAAGCCAAGCAUAUAUAUGAAGUCAGAUAACAAGUUUAUUGUACAACUCAAUGUGGUGGAAAUGAAUGCAAAGCACUUCCAAGACACAGAGAAAUCCAUUCAAGUGAGGCUAGCCACCCCCCAGUCCCUGGAGAUGGAGUUUAUUUCACUUCAUGCAGAAAAGUUACAAAAUAAAAAGGAAAUUACUGGCUUAUGCUUGACACUGUGUAAAUGGAAACAGGAACAGCUCAUUGAGAACAGUCUUCUGGAGACUUCUCACAAGGCCACUAGAUGGCAUGAAAGCACUGUACUGGACCUGAUCAGCUACAGUGCAAUGUGCAACCGAGGCGUUUAUCCUCCUGCUGAGAGCUCAGUGUUUAGUCAAGUAAGAUGCAUUUUCUUUCAGAGGAAAAAAAAAAAAAUGACACUUUUCAGGACACAAAGGGGGUAUUCUGCCCUCCCCAUGCACACACUCAGAAAAUGUCGAAUUAAAUUUGGAAUAGUAAAAAUCAUUUCAGUAUUUACUGGGGCUUCCUGAGAACUUUACCUUUCAGCUCUUUCGGGGAUAGUCUGCUAUUUGUUAUGCAGCCCUCCUUAAUAGGUAGUUAGAGGGGAAAGUCCCUUCAGCAUUAUGCCUGUGCUCAAACAACUGCAGACAAAGUUUGCAUAUUCUCAGUCAUCUCUCUUUUUCUUGAUUUUUUUUCAUCAAAAAUUCUCUUUGUUUUUCUUCAUCUGAUAUUGUGGGGUCCCUCAUUAAGGACUGUAAUAUGAAAAGCUAGAUUUAAAACUGCUGUCAGAAAGGAGGUUGUCCCCUUUUAAUAUCCUUUACUAGCAAAGCAAAAGGAAAUUUCUUUGUUCUUUUCAAAUGCAACUUUUUUUUUUUUGCUUUAUUUAAUGUUUCUGCCUCAUCACUAGGCAUCUUCUCAUCUAACCCCCAAACUUUGAGAAAUACUUUUCUAUUUGGUGUAUUUCUAGUUCUCAGCAUAUGCACAAGGCACAUAUCUCCCUGCACCUCCACAACAGGAAUAAUUACCAUAUUCCUCCAGACAUUAUCGCUAUCUGCCUUCACAAAAUGUCCAUUGUAAAAAGCUGUUUUGAUCUUUUGGAUAAGUGCCUUAAUUUAAAAUAAUGGCAAAAAGGUAAAAUUAGGCCUCUAUGCUCAGCAGUGCAUGAAUGACAAAUCUGUUGUAGUUGGGUAUAUUUUUAAAGAUUCCUUUUUAAGUCUCUUAUAGCAAAUUUACAUAUGAUCAAAAACGGUAUUACACAUUGGCAAACUGAAGUGCAUAAUUUAUUUCAUGUGCUACUGAUAUAGCUAUGUUUAUACAUAAAAUGGGUUUUACAGUUUUGAUAUAAUAUCAUACCAGUUCAAAAUCUGAAAGAUUUCUAAAAGCAUUUUUUCACUUCAUCCACCCUUAUAAAUUUUUUUUCCUUGUAUAGUGUCUCAGAGUAAGAUAUAUCAUUUUUAAAGUAUUUUCUUAGAUCUGAUUUCUAUAAACUUGUGAAAACCAGAGAUUUUAUCAGGACAUCCAGUUAAAACAUUUAGUAAAACAAGGAUUCAAUAAUGUAAUCAUACCUCUUUAAAAUACAAAUAUUAGAGAAUCAAAGGGCAAAUUGGAAAAACUUGCUUCAUAGGCAGUGUUAGCAGUGUUACAUUUUGUUUUUACCCUGUGCAGUUCUGGUUUAUGAGAACAUAAGUUAAUUUGUCAUAUGAAUAGAUGGGAUGAGUCAUAUGAGCUAUGUUUUAAUUGGCUCUAAUGUUUGAUAUCAUUCAAAUCUUCACUUUGAGUAUAAUUCCCCAAACACCAUGAUUAUUGUUACAUUCUGCAUUGCUAUAAAACAGAGAGAAGGAUAGAUAGAUGAUAGAUGGUGAAAUAGAAGCCUUAUGUGUGCACAAUUGAGUUUCCUUCCGUUAGACAUUUUAUGUAAUUCAUAGUAACAUUAGUCAAUUAAUCAUCAGGGACGCAAAACAAGACCAAUGCUUUAAUAAUUUUAAAGUGGGUAGUACUAUAAUACUCUAAAACAAUUUUUUGAAGUGUGAUUUUGGCUGGUUUUGAAAGACCACUACAUUUUUAUGUGGCAUAUAACUAUUUAGCAGCAGUGGAACAUAAAAUCACUUUAUGUUUGAAAAUCCACCUGGAAGUGUAUGUGUAUAUGUGCUGUAGAAAUCCCACUAAGUUCUGUUUGAUCUCUUGAAAAAAUAUAUAUGUGUG